rnacentral:snRNA from 1 species
GUGUUCUCCUGAGCAUCACACACCCUGAAGUGGGAACAAUACAGAGAUUAGCAUGGGCCCAGUGAAUGGAUGACACAAAUCAGUGAAGCGGUCCAGAGCUGU